rnacentral:misc_RNA from 1 species
GAAAUGCGAUAAUUAAUGUGAAUUGCAGAAUUCAGUGGAUCAUCGAGUCUUUGAACGCACAUUGCGCCCCCUGGUAUUCCGGGGGGCAUGCCUGUCCGAGCGUCAUUGCUGCCCUCAAGCACGGCUUGUGUGUUGGGCUUCCGUCCCUGGCAACGGGGACGGGCCCAAAAGGCAGUGGCGGCACCAUGUCUGGUCCUCGAGCGUAUGGGGCUUUGUCACCCGCUCCCGUAGGUCCAGCUGGCAGCUAGCCUCGCAACCAAUCUUUUUAACCAGGUUGACCUCGGAUCAGGUAGGGAUACCCGCUGAACUUAAGC